rnacentral:rRNA from 1 species
CCUACGGGUGGAAGAAGGGGGGAAUAUGGGACAAUGGGCGAAAGCCUGAUCCAGCCAUGCCGCGUGUGUGAAGAAGGCCUUCGGGUUGUAAAGCACUUUCAGUGGGGAAGAAAGCCUUGGGGCUAAUACCCUCGAGGAAGGACAUCACCCACAGAAGAAGCACCGGCUAACUCCGUGCCAGCAGCCGCGGUAAUACGGAGGGUGCGAGCGUUAAUCGGAAUUACUGGGCGUAAAGCGCGCGUAGGCGGUCUGAUAAGCCGGUUGUGAAAGCCCCGGGCUCAACCUGGGAACGGCAUCCGGAACUGUCAGGCUAGAGUGCAGGAGAGGAAGGUAGAAUUCCCGGUGUAGCGGUGAAAUGCGUAGAGAUCGGGAGGAAUACCAGUGGCGAAGGCGGCCUUCUGGACUGACACUGACGCUGAGGUGCGAAAGCGUGGGUAGCAAACAGGAUUAGAUACCCGAGUAGUC